UAUUGGACAAUGGGCGAAAGCCUGAUCCAGCCAUGCCGCGUGUGUGAAGAAGGUCUUCGGAUUGUAAAGCACUUUAAGUUGGGAGGAAGGGGUUGAAGCUAAUACCUUCAAUCUUUGACGUUACCAACAGAAUAAGCACCGGCUAACUCUGUGCCAGCAGCAGCGGUAAUACAGAGGGUGCAAGCGUUAAUCGGAAUUACUGGGCGUAAAGCGCGCGUACGUGGUUCAGUAAGAUGGAAGUGAAAUCCCCGGGCUUAACCUGGGAACUGCUUUCAUAACUGCUUAGCUAGAGUACAGUAGAGGGUAGUAGAAUUUCCUGUGUAGCGGUGAAAUGCCUAGAUAAAGGAAGGAACAUCAGUGGCGAAGGCGACUACCUGGAAUGAUACUGGCCCUGAGGUGCGAAAGCGUGGGGAGGAAACAGG
rnacentral:rRNA from 1 species